rnacentral:lncRNA from 1 species
GAGGGGGUAAGAGGCUGGUGAGCAUUCUCGCGAUACUUGAACGUAUCGCGGCGGCCAGAAGAAGGAGAGGUUUGUAAACAGGUAGCUCCAAGAUCUCAGGGACUAAGGGAAAAAAAUUAGAUCGUUUGCUGAGCACCGGAGCUCCCUUCAUCUCCGCAGGCACGCUCUACGUGUCGAACAUUUCUUUCAACCGGCCUUUUUGGACCGGAAGUCCUCCGUCCUGAGCGUCCAAUACUGGAAGCGGCCUUUCUUACCGGAAAUCCUUUUCCAGGGGCAUAGGAAGAAGGCCUACCUGGCCGGAAGUCCCACCUCCUUGAGAUUUCUCCCACCCAGAAGUUAUUUUUUGUUACCUGUUUGCCUUCGUUCCUAUUCUGUUCUACUUCUGUACCAGAGAAAGAUACAUUGUCUCCCUUUCCACCUCCACUAAGCUGGUUUGAUAGCUCACUUCCCGAAUCGGAGUUCCUUCCCCGACGCCCCCAUGUAGCUGAGAAGUGGGACCUAGGGGUGGUUGGACCCCUGGGAUCCUGAAGGAGAGGCAGAGAAGGCGCAGGACUUGGCUUCUGCUCCUGCUAUCAGGACGCGACCUUCCCAGCUUUACCCCUCCUGCUGCCAUGCACCCUGCGGCCUUCCCGCUCCCUGUUGUUGUGGCUACUGUGCUGUGGGGAGCAGCCCCUAUCCGAGGGCUUAUUCGAGCGGUGAGUCUGAGGGUCGGAUGGGGAAAGGGUGUUGAGAAUGGGUUUCAGACUGGAAAAUGUACUGUUUUAUCUGCAGACUUCGGAGCACAAUGCCAGCAUGGACUUUGCAGACCUUCCAGCUC